AUUGAACGCUGGCGGCAUGCCUUACACAUGCAAGACGAACGGCAGCACGGGAGCAAUCCUGGUGGCGAGUGGCGAACGGGUGAGUAAAGUAUCGGAACGUGCCCAGUCGUGGGGGAUAACGUAGCGAAAGUUACGCCAAUACCGCAUACGAUCUAUGGAUGAAAGCGGGGGAUCGCAAGACCUCGCGCGAUUGGAGCGGCCGAUAUCAGAUUAGGUAGUUGGUGGGGUAAAGGCUCACCAAGCCGACGAUCUGUAGCUGGUCUGAGAGGACGACCAGCCACACUGGGACUGAGACACGGCCCAGACUCCUACGGGAGGCAGCAGUGGGGAAUUUUGGACAAUGGGCGAAAGCCUGAUCCAGCCAUGCCGCGUGCAGGAUGAAGGCCUUCGGGUUGUAAACUGCUUUUGUACGGAACGAAAAGGUUUGGCCUAAUAAGCUGAGCUCAUGACGGUACCGUAAGAAUAAGCACCGGCUAACUACGUGCCAGCCGCCGCAGUAA
rnacentral:rRNA from 1 species